AUAAAGAGGAAGUCUAGGUCACACCGCCGGCACCAAUGGCUCUUCUUCAUCUGCUUAUGAAUUUCCUCACGGUGAUCGAAUCGCUCAUAAAUCCGCUUCAUGCAAUAACAAUUUAACUGAUCUUUACAAAAUGGGUCAUCUGAAAAUGAUGCUUCCAUAAACAUAAGGAUUCCUGUUGUCAUGAUUUCGCGAAGUCGACAGGAGAGACUAUGAAACGAUUAAUGUUAGCCGGAGGGCUGGUGGAGCUCUAUUGUACUCUCCAAACCGCCCACUUGUAGACAUUUCAGUGAUAUUUUUAUUUCCGAUGGCCGUCGGGACUACUCUUUGGUCGGAGAUUAUUGCUUCUGAGCAAGGUGCCAAGGCCAUGAAAGUUGUGAUCAGCUGACACCAAAGGUUGAUUCAGUACUUCUUUCAUGUGCAUAUAUAUUUUCGGUCUUUGGAUCUCCACUCAUCUUCAACGAAAGUGUUAUGAUUGCGGUUGCUCAAGGUAACAAUAGUGGAGAAGCCAUUCCUAUGCUUUUGAGGAUCCCUAGAUUUUUUGUUCCAUGGGGUGGAUAUGAUAUGAUUGGCUUCGGAGAUAUUAUCUUUCCUGGUUUACUCGUUGCAUUUGCCUUUAGAUAUGACAGAUCGAGUAACAAGGGUAUCCUUGAUGGAUAUUUUCUUUGGUUGACGAUAGGCUAUGGCGUCUGUCUCAUCCUCACACUUGAUGGAUGGGCUUGGUCAACCUGCACUCCUACAUCUUGUUCCUCGUACUUUGGGUUACAUUUUAAAACUUGCCUCAGAUGAAGAUAGUAUUAAACCAGUUUAACAGCAUUCUUGUUUUUUUUUUUAAAUCCAUAGCUUUUCGUUGUUUUUAAAACGGCUAUGGGAAAUUAAAAAAACAAAUAAAAUUCGUGGACAACAACCUGUGUAUGUUAUCUAUGUGAAUUUUGAUCUCUAUU